UAAAUUAGUUUUGUUCUACCUUGUCUUUGGAGAACACACAACACCAGCAGUCUCCCUAUGCCUGAGGAAAGGUGUUUGUGCCCAAAAGCUUGCAAAGAACAUUUUUUCCAACUAUUUAGUUG